rnacentral:rRNA from 1 species
GCCUAAGGUAUGCAAGUCGAAUGCCGAUUUAUCGGCAUGGCAGACGGCUGAGUAAUACAUGGGAAUCUACCUCAAACUCGAGAAUAGCCCAUCGAAAGGUGGUGUAAUACUCGAUAGUUCCGUUUACGGUAAAGCUCCGGCGGUUUGAGAUGAGCCCAUGUCCUAUCAGGUUGUUGGUAGGGUAAUUGCCUACCAAGCCUAUGACGGGUAGCUGGUUUGAGAGGAUGAUCAGCCAGACUGGGACUGCGAUACGGCCCAGACUCCUACGGGAGGCAGCAACUAGGAAUCAUGCGCAAUGGACGAAAGUCUGACGCUGCGACGUCGCGUGAGGGAUGAAGGUCUUCGGAUCGUAAACCUCUUUUAUCUGGGAACAAGUUCUGAGUGUACCAGAUGAAUAAGUGCCUGCCAACCACGUGCCAGAAGCAUCGGUAAUGCGUGGGGCACGAGCGUUAUCCGGAUUUACUGGGCGUAAAGAGAUGCGUAGGCGCCUUUUUAAGUCACUUGUAAAAUCUCCCCGCUCAACGGGGGAACUGCAAGUGAUACUGAAUUGGUUGAGUCAAGUAGAGGAGAGGGGAAUUCCUGGUGGAGCGGUUAAAUGCGUUGAUAUCAGGAGGAAUACCAAGUGCGAAGGCACCUCUCUGGACUUGUACUGACGCUAAGGCUCGAAAGUGUGGGGAGCAAAACGGAUUAGAUACCCGUGUAGUCCACACUGUAAACGAUCCCUGCUAGAUGUUUGC